rnacentral:rRNA from 1 species
AUUGAACGCUGGCGGCAUGCUUUACACAUGCAAGUCGAACGGCAGCAUGGGUGCUUGCACCUGAUGGCGAGUGGCGAACGGGUGAGUAAUGUAUCGGAACAUAUCCGCAAGUGGGGGAUAACGUAGCGAAAGUUACGCUAAUACCGCAUAUUCCCUGAGGGGGAAAGGAGGGGAUCCGCAAGGACCUUUCGCUUACGGAGUGGCCGAUAUCAGAUUAGCUAGUUGGUGAGGUAAGGGCUCACCAAGGCUUCGAUCUGUAGCGGGUCUGAGAGGAUGAUCCGCCACACUGGGACUGGGACACGGCCCAGACUCCUACGGGAGGCAGCAGUGGGGAAUUUUGGACAAUGGGGGCAACCCUGAUCCAGCCAUGCCGCGUGAGUGAAGAAGGCCUUCGGGUUGUAAAGCUCUUUCAGCUGGAAAAAAAUCGCUUCACCUAAUACGUGGAGUGGAUGAUGGUACCAGCAGAAGAAGCACCGGCUAACUACGUGCCAGCCGCCGCCGUAA